GCAAUUUCUCCACAGUAUCAACUCAACCCUUAAUGAAGAUUGCUGGCGUUGUCAUGCUGCCUUAGGUACCUUUUAACAUAUCUGGUGGGAAUGCCCGAAGAUAAAAUCUUUUUGGACUGCAAUUCAUAAUGUUCUGAAGAUGUUUUUUGACAACCCUCCUCCUUUCUGACCUGCCCCAUUCCUUUUGUACCACACCACUACCUC